rnacentral:rRNA from 1 species
CCUACGGGAGGCAGCAGUGAGGAAUAUUGGUCAAUGGGCGCGAGCCUGAACCAGCAAAGUAGCGUGAAGGAUGACUGCCCUACGGGUUGUAAACUUCUUUUAUAAAGGAGUAAAGUGAGGCACGUAUGCCUUUUUGUAUGUACUUUAUGAAUAAGGAUCGGCUAACUCCGUGUCAGCAGCCGCGGUAAUACGGAGGAUCCGAGCGUUAUCCGGAUUUAUUGGGUUUAAAGGGAGCGUAGAUGGGUUGUUAAGUCAGUUGUGAAAGUUUGCGGCUUAACCGUAAAAUUGCAAUUGAUACUGGCAGUCUUGAGUAUAGUUGAGGUAGGUGGAAUUCGUGGUGUAGCGGUGAAAUGCUUAGAUAGCACGAAGAAUUCUGAUUGCGAAGGCAGCCUACUAAACCGCCACUGACAUUGAUGCGCGAAAGUGUGGGUAUCAAACAGGAUUAGAUACCCGAGUAGUC